rnacentral:misc_RNA from 1 species
AAGUCGUAACAAGGUUUCCGUAGGUGAACCUGCGGAAGGAUCAUUAUCGAGUUUUUGACAUGGGUUUGAUGCUGGCCUCCUCAGGGGGGGGGUAAUGUGCUCAACCCUACUCAAUCCACAAACCCAACACCUGUGCACUCUUUAGAGUUGUGACCCCCCUUACUCCCCUGUUUACGGGGUUGAGUUUGGGGGUCAUAGCUUUAUUACAUUACAAACUCUCUUCUUGUACACGAAUGUAAUCCCGCCUUUUUAAUGGCAUUUAAUACAACUUUCAACAACGGAUCUCUUGGCUCUC